AUUGAACGCUGGCGGCAUGCUUUACACAUGCAAGUCGAACGGCAGCACGGGCUUCGGCCUGGUGGCGAGUGGCGAACGGGUGAGUAAUAUAUCGGAACGUACCCAGAAGUGGGGGAUAACGUAGCGAAAGUUACGCUAAUACCGCAUACGAUCUACGGAUGAAAGUGGGGGACCUUCGGGCCUCAUGCUUUUGGAGCGGCCGAUAUCUGAUUAGCUAGUUGGUGAGGUAAAGGCUCACCAAGGCGACGAUCAGUAGCUGGUCUGAGAGGACGACCAGCCACACUGGAACUGAGACACGGUCCAAACUCCUACGGGAGGCAGCAGUGGGGAAUUUUGGACAAUGGGCGCAAGCCUGAUCCAGCAAUGCCGCGUGAGUGAAGAAGGCCUUCGGGUUGUAAAGCUCUUUUGUCAGGGAAGAAACGGUAGGGGCUAAUAUCCUUUGCUAAUGACGGUACCUGAAGAAUAAGCACCGGCUAACUACGUGCCAGCCGCCCAGUAA
rnacentral:rRNA from 1 species